AGCGAACGCUGGCGGCAGGUCUAACACAUGCAAGUCGAACGAACCCUUCGGGGUUAGUGGCGGACGGGUGAGUAACACGUGGGAACGUGCCUUUAGGUUCGGAAUAACUCAGGGAAACUUGUGCUAAUACCGAAUGUGCCCUUCGGGGGAAAGAUUUAUCGCCUUUAGAGCGGCCCGCGUCUGAUUAGCUAGUUGGUGGGGUAAUGGCCCACCAAGGCUACGAUCAGUAGCUGGUCUGAGAGGAUGACCAGCCACAUUGGGACUGAGACACGGCCCAAACUCCUACGGGAGGCAGCAGUGGGGAAUCUUGCGCAAUGGGCGAAAGCCUGACGCAGCCAUGCCGCGUGGAUGAUGAAGGUCUUAGGAUUGUAAAAUCCUUUCACCGGUGAAGAUAAUGACUGUAGCCGGAGAAGAAGCCCCGGCUAACUUCGUGCCAGCAGCCGCCGUAAGAC
rnacentral:rRNA from 1 species